GUUUGUGAUUAAAAGAUGGGGCAACACUGAGCAAAGAGGUAGCUUCCCCCACACUCCCGCAGACACCUCCAGUUUCAUAAUCCCUAACAGGCACCAGCGAACCUCACUGAAUUUCUAGAUCAGAAGCCGGGGAGACCUUCUGGUUCUUACCCAAGGUAGAGUACUCAAAAAAUAGUCCCAUGGGCAGGGCAUGGUGGCACAUGCCUUUAAUCCCAGCAUUUAGGAAGCAAAGGCAGGAGGAUCUCUGUGAGUUCAAGGCUAGUGUGGUCCAGGACAGCCAGGGCUGUGUAGAGAGACCUUGACCCUGCUCUCCUGCUGUGUGAGUUCAUUCUCUAAAAUUUAUUCAACAACCCCCACCCCCACCCCCACUUCCCCCAGAGCAGCAAUUCAAAUUUAUUUCUGAGAAGUUCUAACCUCCUGAAUGACUUCAUUGAGGAAAACAUCAACAACAACAACAAUAACAACCAGAUUUUUCUAUCCAAGAGAGAAUCUCUGUGAGGUGCAGGAAAACCUUCAACCCCAGCCAAGGAUGACAGCUUCCUAUUGUAUUUCUGGAAGCUUCUUAAUGAAGUCACUGUAGAGGGGUAUAAACAAGCAAACUGCUGUCUCAGAGAUCAGAAAGCACAAGGAUCAUUCAGAGGGUCAGAAACAAAGGAUUUAUUCCCAGGCGGAAAAUGGAAGGGGAGUCUAGUAAGCUCAUGGAUGUUUGAUUUCUAUUAAUUAAUAUUAAUUGUAGUUUAUAUGAUGCUUAUGAGUUACAUUUGUAAUACAAGCAAUGUUUUUGUAUCUUAAACACUGGUCUCAAAUCAUAGAGCUUUUAUAUACUGUCAUAGAAAAAUACAACCUUUGGAGGUGCAGAUAUGUUCUGGAGUGAAAUGAUCUUAAAAUAAUACUUCUUAUAUUUGGUAUUAGAAAACAUAGCUGACAGGGUCUGUAAUUUAUCACUAAAAGAUACUAACUUGAAACCAAAUCACAGCUGCCUCAUACUUUUCAACUUUCUUACCAGCACAGAUCAAUUUACAGAUUUGCACUUUAAUAAAUUAAACAUGUUUC
rnacentral:lncRNA from 1 species